AAGGCAUUGCGCUAGCCUUCCUGUCUUUGCUCUCUCCACCGUGGUGGUCUCGGACGCGACCAUCAAUCUCUUUAUCGUGUUGCAUUUUGUCAUACAUUUGUAUGUCUUUUUGUUCAACUAUGAUGCUGAUUGUAGUUCACGACCCUCCGUGAAAAACUACCGUUUUGACGGGAAUGUGAAGUUGUACGCGCCAGCUUGUUAGCAUGCUAGCUCCAAGGCGAGCAACACGUGGUCACGCCUGCAGCCGUGCAUCUUCUGACAGGUUUCUGCUCCAGAUGUUCCAUGUCAGAUUGAGCAUCUACAAACUGCUGCGAGUGGAUCAUCAGUGGACAGGUGAUGCUCGAUUUGGGCGGAGUAACCUGAAGAGUAAAAAUCCCAUUAGGGAGCGACAUUGAUGUUUAUUUAAAAAUGAUAAUAAAUAAUUUUAAUUCAUA